rnacentral:rRNA from 1 species
UACAGAGGGGGCAAGCGUUGUUCGGAAUUACUGGGCGUAAAGCGCACGUAGGCGGCUUUGUAAGUUAGAGGUGAAAGCCCGGGGCUCAACUCCGGAACUGCCUUUAAGACUGCAUCGCUUGAAUCCAGGAGAGGUGAGUGGAAUUCCGAGUGUAGAGGUGAAAUUCGUAGAUAUUCGGAAGAACACCAGUGGCGAAGGCGGCUCACUGACUGGUAUUGACGCUGAGGUGCGAAAGCGUGGGGAGCAAACAGGGAU